UGAAAUUAGAUGAUGGUGUUACUGUAGAUUGUC
rnacentral:sRNA from 1 species